rnacentral:lncRNA from 1 species
GCGAAUGUGCAGGUGGCACCCAGUGGCGAUGCUCAUCUUGGGAACGCACAAAACGACAAGAGAGCCAGACAGGGGCAGCACCUGAGGAGCCUCUUGGAGAAGUUGGAUGCAGAAGAAAGAGAGGCUGAUAUGAAGGCACAGGAGGGUGCGCAGAGGGCAGCCUCAGCAGCAAAUGAGCAAGGAGAGGUGUGUUGUCCUUACUUCCCGCACUUCUGCUCUCUUGUGCGUCAUUGCUGCCCCCUUCUCAACUUUCCACUUUCAGCUGUCGUUGUCACAAAGGGCGUUGCCUCUGCACAGUCAAGCAAUUCCCUCAUGUGUCAGGUUGCGGAGGGGAUUACUGGCUCCCCUUCAAGCAUGGCAGACAGCGGGGUUGAGACAACAAAUGAUCGAAUCGCCGGAAGGCAAUCACCGGAGGCAGACGAUGACGCGCUCCAAGCCCAG